rnacentral:sRNA from 1 species
GAAUUCCCUUUGCAGGUUGUAUGAAAUCUUGGAAUUGGCUGAGGACAUGGAAAUUGACAUCCCCCACGUGUGGCUCUACCUAGCGGAACUGGUAACACCCAUUCUGCAGGAAGGUGGGGUGCCCAUGGGGGAGCUGUUCAGGGAGAUUACAAAGCCUCUGAGACCGUUGGGCAAAGCUGCUUCCCUGUUGCUGGAGAUCCUGGGCCUCCUGUGCAAAAGCAUGGGUCCUAAAAAGGUGGGGACGCUGUGGCGAGAAGCCAGGCUUAGCUGGAAGGAAUUUCUACCUGAAGGCCAGGACAUUGGUGCAUUCGUCGCUGAACAGAAGGUGGAGUAUACCCUGGGAGAGGAGUCGGAAGCCCCUGGCCAGAGGGCACUCCCCUCCGAGGAGCUGAACAGGCAGCUGGAGAAGCUGCUGAAGGAGGGCAGCAGUAACCAGCGGGUGUUCGACUGGAUAGAGGCCAACCUGAGUGAGCAGCAGAUAGUAUCCAACACGUUAGUUCGAGCCCUCAUGACGGCUGUCUGCUAUUCUGCAAUUAUUUUUGAGACUCCCCUCCGAGUGGACGUUGCAGUGCUGAAAGCGCGAGCGAAGCUGCUGCAGAAAUACCUGUGUGACGAGCAGAAGGAGCUACAGGCGCUCUACGCCCUCCAGGCCCUUGUAGUGACCUUAGAACAGCCUCCCAACCUGCUGCGGAUGUUCUUUGAUGCGCUGUAUGACGAGGACGUGGUGAAGGAGGAUGCCUUCUACAGUUGGGAGAGUAGCAAGGACCCCGCUGAGCAGCAGGGCAAGGGUGUGGCCCUUAAAUCUGUCACAGCCUUCUUCAAGUGGCUCCGUGAGGCAGAGGAGGAGUCUGACCACAACUGAGGGCUGGUGGGGCCGGGGACCUGGAGCCCCAUGGACACACAGAUGGCCCGGCUAGCCGCCUGGACUGCAGGGGGGCGGCAGCAGCGGCGGUGGCAGUGGGUGCCUGUAGUGUGAUGUGUCUGAACUAAUAAAGUGGCUGAAGAGGCAGGAUGGCUUGGGGCUGCCUGGGCCCCCCUCCAGGAUGCCGCCAGGUGUCCCUCUCCUCCCCCUGGGGCACAGAGAUAUAUUAUAUAUAAAGUCUUGAAAUUUGGUGUGUCUUGGGGUGGGGAGGGGCACCAACGCCUGCCCCUGGGGUCCUUUUUUUUAUUUUCUGAAAAUCACUCUCGGGACUACCGUCCUCGCUGCUGGGGGCAUAUGCCCCAGCCCCUGUACCACCCCUGCUGUUGCCUGGGCAGGGGGAAGGGGGGGC